rnacentral:rRNA from 1 species
AUGCCGCCGCCGCCGCUGCCGGAGCGGUGGUCCAUCCUGGCUCGAAUCCCUAAAGUUGUGAAGGACAAGGAGGCGAAGCGCACCUUCCCGCCGGGCACCGACGUCUCCGUCGCCUGUGACGAGCUCCCGCGCGCCUCAAUCCUCACCGUGUCGCUCCGCAUCGCCCCGCCGCCCUGCCUCCCCAGCUACCCCUACGUCGCCGCUGCGGACCCCUCCGGCCUGCUCCUCCUCUGCGCCACGGAGCCUAGCGGGGAGGUCACCUACCACCUUUGCCACGCGCGCACAGGUGAGGCCACCUGUUUCCGCGAGCACAACUGCCCCAUGGGCUUCGACGGCGCCAACGUCGGCCUAAUGACGAGGGGCGACAGCUGCGUGGUCGCCGAGCUCCAGCCCUCCGGCGGCGGCUCCGGCCGCGCCACGCUCCUCCGCUACACGGUGGGGCAGUACAAGUGGGCCGUGACGGAGCUCGCCUACUCGCCGCCGCUGCACCGGCAGUGGUUCUGCGAGGGGGUCGUCUUCCACGGAGGGAUGCUCUGGUGGGUGGAGCUCUCGUACGGCCUCCUCGCCUGUGACCCCUACUCCGACAAGCCGGAGCUGCUACACGUCCCGCUUCCGACGAUCAUCGACCCGCUUCCGGGAAAAGUGGCAAAUUUGGCCAACAGGGCCUCCCACAGCUGCGUGAAGGCGAGCAGCGGAAGGCUGAGGUACGUGCAGAUCCAUGGCGAUCCCGCCGCCCCGGUGGUCAGCACGUGGGCGCUCACCGAGGCUGGUAAAUGGAACCCCGAGCGCCGCGUGCCCUUGCCGGACAUCUGGGCCGACGAGAGCUACCUCGACGCCAUGCUGCCAGGGAGCAUCCCCGCGCUUGCGCUCCUCGGCCCCGCAGACCCAGACAAGCUCUACUUCUUCCUCGGCUCCUGCAUCUUUGCCGUGGACCUGCGACGGAGGAAGGUUGUGGAAUCCGGUGAAUUCGAUAUGCCGGAGCCACCAAACCAGCUGAUCGUGCGCGCAUGGCAGUAUGAUCCUUCAAGCAGCCGUAAGCAUAUAUUUUUAUCUUGUUAUUUGAUUACUUUGCUUUGA